rnacentral:rRNA from 1 species
CCUACGUGUGGCAGCAGUGGGGGAUAUUGCACAAUGGGGGAAACCCUGAUGCAGCGACGCAGCGUGGGCGAAGAAGUAUUUCGGUAUGUAAAGCCCUAUCAGCAGGGAAGUAGAAAUGACGGUAUCUGAGUAAGAAGCACCAGCUAAAUACGUGCCAGCAGCCGCGGUAAUACGUAUGGUGCAAGCGGUAUCCGGAUUUACUGGGUGUAAAGGGGGCGUAGGGGGUACGGCAAGCCUGAUGUGAAAGGCCGCGGCCCAACCGCGGGACAGGCUUGGGAACUGCCGGGCUUGAGUGCCGGAGAGGUAGGCGGAAUGCCUAGUGUAGCGGUGAAAUGCGUAGAUAUUAGGAGGAACACCAGUGGCGAAGGCGGCCUACUGGACGGUGACUGACGCUGAGGCUCGAAAGCGUGGGGAGCGAACAGGAUUAGAUACCCCUGUAGUC